rnacentral:rRNA from 1 species
GACGAACCGUGCGAACGUUGUUCGGAAUCACUGGGCAUAAAGGGCGCGUAGGCGGCGUGGUAAGUCAGCUGUGAAAUCUCCGAGCUUAACUCGGAACGGUCAGCUGAUACUGCUGUGCUAGAGUACAGAAAGGGCAAUCGGAAUUCUUGGUGUAGCGGUGAAAUGCGUAGAUAUCAAGAGGAACACCUGAGGCGAAGGCGGGUUGCUAGGCUGAUACUGACGCUGAGGCGCGAAGGCCAGGGGAGCAAACGGG